rnacentral:lncRNA from 1 species
ACGACAGAGCAUCGCAGCCUGGUGGCUGGGCAGGACCUAGUACUGGCCUGUGAGCUGUCCCAGCCCGAUGCUGCUGUUCGCUGGCUGCGGGAUGGUCGGGAGCUGCAGCCAGGGGAGCGGGUGUGCAUUGUGGCCCGUGGGGCGCUGCGGGAGCUCACUGUGCGUGGGGCACAGCCUGGGGACUCGGGGUGCUACGUCUGUGAUGCUGCCACCGACCGCAUGGUGACAAGCGUGGAGGUGACAGCCCAGUCUGUGCGCAUUGUGAACAAGGAGGAGGCGCAGAGCCCGCUGGAGGUGCAGGAGGGGGAUAGCGUGACGCUGGUGGCCCAGCUGUCCCUGGAGACAGCAGAAGCACAGUGGCAGAAGGAUGGGCAGAUGUUGCUCUCGGGCGGGCGGCUGCUGGUGUGCAGUGAGGGCCCAGCACGCAGCCUCACCAUCAAACAAGUGGAACUGGGGGAUGCCGGCACCUUCCUCUGUGAUGCUGGGGAUGACGAGGUGUACUUCACUCUGCAUGUGAAAGAAGCAC